CACUCUACAUCUAGCUUAGCGCCCCCUGGUGAGAUCGCACCCCUCUACAUCAAGCUUAGCGCCCCCUGGUGGAACCACACCACGCUACAUCAAGCUUACUGCCCCUUGGUGAGACCACACCACUCUACAUCAAGCUUAGCGCCCCCUGGUGGAACCACACCACGCUACAUCAAGCUUACUGCCCCUUGGUGAGACCACACCACUCUACAUCAAGCUUAGCGCCCCCUGGUGAGACCGCACUAUUCUAUAUGAGCCUCCACUCUCCGAUUAAAGGAACUGCUAAGAGUAAAGAUUCGAUUUCGACAUUUCCAUGGAGAAUCACUGACGGGCCACCACUCUCCGAUUAAAGGAACUGCUAAGAACAAAGUGUGAGGACCUCUCUUACCCUGGUAGAGGAGCGGAGAAGGCAGAAGGCGCAUGAUGCACACCAAUUCGCGUCGGGGGACUUCCGAGACAAACCAUCGUAACCGACGGUUACAGUGUUUUAUACUGAUAUUCCACGAGUUUUUAGAAAAAUUUGUAUUUUAUACUAAUCGUUUAUUGCAAGUUCAAUCCCAUAAUGUAUGAGCAUGUGGUUUCGCGUUUUAUGUGUACGACUGCGGCUCGUUGUCAGAAAUUCUCAUUUCAUGCUCAUUCAACUAGAGCAACUAGCACUCGAACUAGAACAACUAGCUCUAGAACUA